GCCUCUGUGGUGGAAAUGGUAGACACGACAGGUUUAGGCCCUGUUGCUCGCAAGGGUGUGGGGGUUCGACUCCCUCCAGGGGCA
rnacentral:tRNA from 1 species